ACUCCUACGGGAGGCAGCAGUAGGGAAUCUUCGGCAAUGGACGAAAGUCUGACCGAGCAACGCCGCGUGAGUGAAGAAGGUUUUCGGAUCGUAAAACUCUGUUGGUAGAGAAGAACGUUGGUGAGGGUGGAAAGCUCAUCAAGUGACGGUAACUACCCAGAAAGGGACAGCUAACUACGUGCCAGCAGCCGCGGUAAU
rnacentral:rRNA from 1 species